CUCCUGGAAACGGGUGGUAAUGCCGGAUGCUCCGCCCCCUCGCAUGGGGGGUCGGGAAGGCUUUUGCGGAAUGGGAUGGGGUCGCGUCCUAUCAGCUUGUUGGCGGGGCGACGGCCCACCAAGGCUUCGACGGGUAGCCGGCCUGAGAGGGCGACCGGCCACAUUGGGACUGAGAUACGGCCCAGACUCCUACGGGAGGCAGCAGUGGGGAAUAUUGCACAAUGGGGGGAACCCUGAUGCAGCGACGCCGCGUGCGGGAUGGAGGCCUUCGGGUCGUGAACCGCUUUUGAUUGGGAGCAAGCGUGAGUGAGUGUACCUUUCGAAUAAGCACCGGCUAACUACGUGCCAGCAGCCGCGGUAAUACGUAGGGUGCAAGCGUUGUCCGGAAUCAUUGGGCGUAAAGGGCUCGUAGGCGGUUCGUCGCGUCCGGUGUGAAAGCCCAUCGCUUAACGGUGGGUCUGCGCCGGGUACGGGCGGGCUUGAGUGCGGCAGGGGAGGCUGGAAUUCCCGGCGUAACGGUGGAAUGUGUAGAUAUCGGGAAGAACACC
rnacentral:rRNA from 1 species